ACACACCGACACCGACACCCACACAGGCUAACCGCAAGCUCAUUCAGCAAAAGGCAGACACCAACAGAACAACAGACAAAAGCAUCGCAGUGGGCAUUGUAAAUCAUAAUCAAAACAAUAGAACAAAUGAAGCUAAUGUGCUGCACGCAAACAACAACUCGAACAACAACAAUUGCCCCAGAGUGCAGGGUAUAGAGGUGGUGAGGGGUACGCUGUGUCGCUGUGUCAGGCUGUAACUGCAUAUGGUCAGGGCCAACUUUAAAAGGGCCAACAAAUUAACAAGCGAGUACCUAAUACAAAUGUAAAAUAAUGGAAAAUACUGCGGAAUUUAAAGAAGUUUAAAAAAAAUUAAAAUAAAUCAAAUGAAAUUUUCUUUUUCUUUGGCAUAAAAUACUUGUUUGGACGCUUAAAUAAAUAAUACGCAUAUA